rfam:Loxodonta africana unplaced genomic scaffold scaffold_139, whole genome shotgun sequence.
CCAAAGGCUCUUUUCAGAGCCACUCAUAUUUGCUGGAAAAGAACGU